UACGUAGGUCCCGAGCGUUGUCCGGAUUUAUUGGGCGUAAAGCGAGCGCAGGUGGUUUAUUAAGUCUGGUGUAAAAGGCAGUGGCUCAACCAUUGUAUGCAUUGGAAACUGGUAGACUUGAGUGCAGGAGAGGAGAGUGGAAUUCCAUGUGUAGCGGUGAAAUGCGUAGAUAUAUGGAGGAACACCGGUGGCGAAAGCGGCCAACUGGGCUUUAACUGACGCUGAGGCUCGAAAGUGUGGGGAGCAAACAGG
rnacentral:rRNA from 1 species